GAGAGAAAAAUCCUAUGAAGCACUGAGAAAAAUGAUCCACGAGGCUCACGAACUCCCGCCAAACUCAGGAAAUACAGCCCCAGUCCUGCCCCGAGUGCAGCGGAUUCGCGGGAAAACGCUGCCACGGUACGGAACGGGAAGAGGCGGGUCAUAUGACGUCAAACAUCACCGUUGCCAUCAUUUAUACAUCAGGGCUGUGAACCUGGAUGCAUUAUGGAUGAGGUUCUCCCUCACCAACCUCUGCAGAUGGAUGCAAGAUGUGUACAGACUUUAGCAGACCAGCGGGACUGAUGACCUUCAGAGAUUGGAAAGUGUUGGAGUUCGCCACAUCAGAAAAGAGCAAAGAGAACAAAGCCAAAAAAUACAGACAGUAAUCCGAACUUGAUCAUCAGUUCAGUUUCCUUCAGAUCUGUCCAUUGGUGUUUUGAGGAAGUAAUGGGUUUGCUCUUCGGUUGUCGUUCCGAAUCCCUCUGGGCAGAUGGGAUUGUUACUGAACAGAUUGUGCAGGUGUAGGAGGACGUGGCACCUGUCCAGACGUCUAACAAGAGAAGACAAGUGCUGCUUCUGCUAAACACAGUCCUAUCUGAAGUCAUACGCAUGCCUCUGGUUAAGAAAUCAUUUACUGUGUGACCCUCGAGAGUUUGAAUAGCCUUUAAAUUUGUAACGGCGUGAUACUGAGCCAACAAGCAAAUCAGCGUUCAUUUAACUCAUCUGUUUUGAGGAUGAGCUAACAGCGUGUUUCUUUUCAGAGUCGUUCCAAACUAGUGCCAUUUGAGUCCACGACAUAUGGUACUCCGUUUACAGCCUGGAUUGGGGGUUCGGAUUGAUUUGUCUAUAAUUCAAAUUAAAGGGCACCUUUUAUGCCAAUUUUUACAGGAUGUAAUAAAAAUCUCAGGUGUGCCCAGAAUGUGUCUGUGAAGUUUCUGUUCAAAAUCAUUUGUUACUACAUAUCCAAAAUGCCCCUAUUUAGGUGGGAGCAAAAAUGUGCUGUUUUCGUGUCCGUAU